AGAAUAUAAAUUAUGCAGCUUGAAGAAAGAAUUCUAAAGAAUAAAAAAUCUGUAUUGCAAACAACUUCACUUCCACUAAGGUAGAGGGACAAACAUAUAUAACAAGGUUUAAGUUUUUAACCUUUGUCAUAAGUCUAUGUUACAUAAAUAAGUAAUUCCCAAUAAAACUUCAAAUAUUAUCCACAGAAGAGAUUUCUCCUUUUCGUCAAGUUAUUACUUCAGGUGGCAUCUGGUGGUAAUAAUGAUUGUGUGAACAGUCAAUGAAAAUUAAGUAUGCUUAAAAACAUUUUUUUUUUUUUGGUAAGGCAAAGGAUCUGAAAUGAAAUGGUUUAUUAAGAAAUAAAGUA